UAGAGCUAUACAAAGUAGAAGCUUCCGGUUUGGUUGUGGCGACUGAAAUUUUGUUUGAGAUUUGUUUUGGAUAAGUGGAGCUCACGGUCUGUCAGCUUGCAACUAGCCGCUAUUGGAAUUUAAAUGGUCUAGUGCGCUGGAACGUUUUCUAAGCAGUGUAAUUUCUUUCGGUAUACUCUGUUCUGUAUUUUGUCGCGCGGAGCUGAACAUUUCUUUGCAACGGCGAAACUAACGGGAGACGUCUCUGAACCUGUUCUUUAGAUUGAGGGCAAUAGAAGAAGGGGACGACAGAGAAUGAGAUGGCUGGAUGGAGUCACUGAAGCAGUAGGUGUGAACUUAAAUGGACUCCAGAAGAUGGUAGAGGACAGGAAGACCUGGAGGAACGUUCUCCAUGGGGUCGCAAUGGGUCGGACACGACUUCGCAAUUAACAACAACAACAAUCAAAAUCAGAAUCCUCAAGUACAGUCUCUUCUUUCUUUCUUUUAGACUCCACUUUUUAGGAAUCUAAAAAAAAUACUGUCUGCAGAUCAAUAAGAAAUAAUAAAAAUUGGGAAGAGCAAAUU